CCCCCCAAGUAAUUUUCACAUAUUCCUUCAUAUACUUUUCGAAGUGCAUAAUCAGCCUAGCUCCAAUGGUUUCAAACAUCGAAGUAGAGGAAGUGAAUAAGAUUUUUUGUAUAACUGAUCUCCCUAAAGAACAUACCAUGAAGCUUGUCUUUUAAUGCUUCUAGCUUUAACUAGAUCAUCAGGCAAAAUUUCUUUUGUUAUAUAGUCCCCA
rnacentral:lncRNA from 1 species